rnacentral:rRNA from 1 species
GACGAACGCUGGCGGCGUGCCUAAUACAUGCAAGUCGAACGCAGUGGGGACGGGUGAGAAAACCGUGGGUAACCCCCCAUCAGAGGGGGAAACACUUGGAAACAGGGGCUAAACCGAUACUGAUGGAUGGACAAGGGGUUCCUUAGGUAGUUGGUGAGGAAAGGGUCCACCAAGGCCACGAUGCAGAGCCGACGUGAGAGGGUGACCGGCCACACUGUGACUGCGAACCGGCCCAGAUGCUUAGGGGAGGCAGCAGUGGUGAACCUUCGGCAAUGGACGAAAGUCUGACCGGGCAACGCCGCGUGAGUGAAGAAGUUUUUCGGAUCGUAAAACUCUGUUGUUAGAGAAGCGGUAUCUAACCAGAAAGCCACGGCUAACUACGUGCCAGCAGCCGCGGUAAUAC